rnacentral:lncRNA from 1 species
GAGUCCCUCAAUCCCCAGAGGGAAGGAGCCCACCGUGGGGGACCGGCCAAAGCCCCACUCUUUGUCCGGCCCAGGGCAAAUCGGCCCCUCGGCAGCUCAGCCCGUCCAGCCCCUCCCGAGAGGACACAGGGGACCCGGAGUCCGCAGGGGCCAGCACUACCCUCCGCCCCGGGUCCCGCUCCCUACUCCCCGUCGCUCCGAGACGCUCCGACUCUCAGUCCGGAGGCUUUCUGUAUGAUUGCCUUCAAGUGCUGGGGAUUUUUUUCAUUGAAUGAAAGUAACAGGAAGUGUCCAUUUCAAAGUUUCCUUUGAUGGACACCCCGUGAGACUCGUGGUCAGUCUGGGUCUCAGCUGUAUUCCCAGAAACCAGAACAGCCCUGAGCAGCUCUCCCAGGCCAGGCUCCUGGCCUUCCUGCAACCUCCCAAGCCACCCCAGAAGUGAGCCUGCCUUGGUUCAGCUGCUGGUUCCAGGGCAGCUCCCUGAGAAGAUGGUGCUGCUGGGGAAGGCCGUGCUUCUGGACACUUUCUGCUAGACUUGCCACCAGCCCCAUCAUUCUGGUGAUGCCACCAGCCAGACUGUUUUCCCACUUGAUGUUGACCAGUCACCCACCCUGAGCUCUGUGCUGCCUGCUGUCUCUGGGGGGCCUCAGACAGCCCACACCAAAAUGCAAGACCCAAUUCCUGAAGCAUCAAGCACGCAGAAACUCAGCCUGGCUCCAGGCCUUACGCUUCCUCCCACAGCCCCGCACCACCUGCCCUCACCGCCAUGACUGCUCUCUCCCGCUGGCUGGCUUCUCACUCCUCCCUACUCCUCCCUGCCUGGUGCCUUUGCUCAAACUCUUCCCUCUGUGCCCAUCUCCCUUUCUCCCCGUGGUGAACCCUUGAUCGACCUCCAAGGUCCUGCUCAAACCUUGCUUUUUCUCCGAAACCUCCGGAACAUGUCCCUGCUGAACUCCCAGCCCCUGAACUCCUCCCUUCCUGAACUCACACUGGUGGUCCACUGUUCCAGGGAGGCUCAGUCUGCCUCCGGCACAGUCACAACUGUGGGUGAAAUGUUCCUGGCUGUGCCUGCUGUGACCUGGUUCCCUCCUGGAGCAGAGUCAGCACAUGGCUUCUAAUUACCCCCUGCAGCUGGGGCUGGGUCCUUCCCGCAAUGGAGAUAGCCUGGGGUACCUGCCACCAGGUGGGUGAGUCUGUGCAGGCCCAUGGUCUUUGAGGCAAGGAUGCCGCCCCUGGUGUGGGAUCAGCAAAGCCCGGUACCGCCCACCUCUGUGGGAGGGGAGGCUGGGCUGGCCUGUCCCAGGGUGCCUUCUGCACCCAGUGCCCAUGGGCAAGCUGCCCUUCACUCCCAGGUCAAGGAAGAGGUAGGUGUGAGGCUAAGAGAAGCAGAUCCUCCCACCUCUUCCUCCGAAAAUGACCCACCCAGGCCAUGGGCUGAGCAUUCAGUCCACAAACACUGUGCCACACUUCUUCCAGGCACAGAUGGAGGACCUGGCCCUCAAGGAGCUCACAUGAGAAGGCACUGAUAUGUGCCAUGUGAUUAAAGCAGU